GCCCUCAUGGUGUAGUGGUAACACGAAGGUCUCAUACGACGUUAGCUUCGCGGUUAACGGCAAUCCUCAGCUCUGAGUUCGAUUCUCAGUGAGGGCA
rnacentral:tRNA from 1 species